rnacentral:rRNA from 1 species
UACGAAGGGGACUAGCGUUGUUCGGAUUUACUGGGCGUAAAGCGCGCGUAGGCGGAUCGCUAAGUCAGGGGUGAAAUCCCAGGGCUCAACCCUGGAACUGCCUUUGAUACUGACGAUCUGGAGAUCGGGAGAGGUUGGUGGAAUUCCGAGUGUAGAGGUGAAAUUCGUAGGUAUUCGGAAGAACACCAGUGGCGAAGGCGACUCACUGGACACGUAUUGACGCUGAGGUGCGAAAGCGUGGGGAGCAAACAGG